rnacentral:lncRNA from 1 species
GCAUGUCUUGGGACCGGACAGCCAGGCGGCUGGCACCGCCAUCACCGCUAUCGCUGCUCCUGGUGCUGGUGCUGCUGUCACGAGACGGGGCUCUGCAUCCUGAAGAGCUCUUUCCUUACGGGGAGUCGUGGGGAGACCGACUGCUGCGGGAGGGCGACGUUGAAAGCUCCGCGGCGGCGAAGCUAGCAGCUGUGGAGCAACUAACCUCCAUGUUUAACUGUCAUCGCCGCUGGUGACCGGACUUAGCAGUACUGCUGCAGCUUCUUGAUCCCUACUGUGGAGGAAUAAGGAUCAUUUCAAGGGAGAGCUGGAACCGUCCCCCUCUACUUCGACUUCCCAGGCAGGAAGAUGAAAUUGAGGCGGCUAGUGCGGUUUGCGUUUAGGGGCGGUGGGAGGCUGUGCACGCAGGCAUAGCAAUCUAAUUAAGGACACGGCGACCAAGGUGUGCAGUGGUGGAGAAAGAUGAGCGGGUUCAAGAGAGGCCG